UGAGUAACACGUGGGUAACCUGCCCAUAAGAGGGGGGAUAACAUCCGGAAACGGGUGCUAAUACCGCAUAGUUUUCUUGAUCGCAUGAUCGGGAAAGGAAAGACGGCCUUUGUGCUGUCGCUUAUGGAUGGACCCGCGGCGUAUUAGUUAGUUGGUGAGGUAACGGCUCACCAAGACGAUGAUACGUAGCCGACCUGAGAGGGUGAUCGGCCACAUUGGGACUGAGACACGGCCCAAACUCCUACGGGAGGCAGCAGUAGGGAAUCUUCCGCAAUGGACGAAAGUCUGACGGAGCAACGCCGCGUGAGUGAAGAAAAGGUUUUCGGAUCGUAAAACUCUGUUGUCAGAGAAGAACAAGUUGGAGAGUAACUGCUCCAGCCUUGACGGUAUCUGACCAGAAAGCCACGGCUAACUACGUGCCAGCCGCUGC
rnacentral:rRNA from 1 species